rnacentral:rRNA from 1 species
GACGAACGCUGGCGGCGUGCUUAACACAUGCAAGUCGAACGAUGAUCCGAGCGCUUGCUCUUGGGGAUUAGUGGCGAACGGGUGAGUAACACGUGAGUAACCUGCCCUGGACUCUGGGAUAACCCCGAGAAAUCGGAGCUAAUACCGGAUAGGACCUUGCACCGCAUGGUGUGGGGUGGAAAGUUUUUUCGGUCUGGGAUGGACUCGCGGCCUAUCAGCUUGUUGGUGAGGUAAUGGCUCACCAAGGCGUCGACGGGCAGCCGGCCUGAGAGGGUGACCGGCCAAACUGGGACUGAGACACGGCCCAGACUCCUACGGGAGGCAGCAGUGGGGAAUAUUGCACAAUGGGCGCAAGCCUGAUGCAGCAACGCCGCGUGCGGGAUGACGGCCUUCGGGUUGUAAACCGCUUUUAGUAAGGAAGAAGGGGAGCUUGCUCCUUGACGGUACUUGCAGAAAAAGGACCGGCUAACUACGUGCCAGCCGCCGCCGUAACAC